rnacentral:rRNA from 1 species
UACGAAGGGGGCUAGCGUUGCUCGGAAUCACUGGGCGUAAAGGGCGCGUAGGCGGCCAUUCAAGUCAGGGGUGAAAGCCUGUGGCUCAACCACAGAAUUGCCUUUGAUACUGUUUGGCUAGAGACCGGAAGAGGUAAGUGGAACUGCGAGUGUAGAGGUGAAAUGCGUUGAGAUCGGAAGGAACGCCUGCGGCGAAAGCGAGGUCCUGGACUCUGACUGACGUUGAGGCGCGAAAGCCAGGGGAGCGAACGGG